rnacentral:rRNA from 1 species
GACGUAGGGCGCGAGCGUUUGUCCGGAUUUAUUGGGCGUAAAGAGCUCGUAGGCGGCUUGUUACGUCGACUGUGAAAACCCACGGCUCAACCGUGUGGUCUGCAGUCGAUACGGGCAGGCUAGAAUUCGGUAGGGGAGACUGGAAUUCCUGGUGUAGCGGUGAAAUGCGCAGAUAUCAGGAGGAACACCGGUGGCGAAGGCGGG